rnacentral:misc_RNA from 1 species
UGGGCUUGACAUGUCCGUGACCGCCGUGGAAACACGGCUUCCCUUCGGGGCACCUUCACAGGUGGUGCAUGGCUGUCGUCAGCUCGUGUCGUGAGAUGUUGGGUUAAGUCCCGCAACGAGCGCAACCCUCGUCCCUAGUUACCAGCGGGUUAUGCCGGGCACUCUAGGGAGACUGCCGGUGUCAAACCGGAGGAAGGUGGGGAUGACGUCGAAUACGUAAC